GACGAACGCNGGCGGCGUGCUUAACACAUGCAAGUCGGACGAGGUCCACNGAGUAGCAAUACAAGGGAAGACCUAGUGGCGAACGGGUGAGUAUCACGUGAGAAACCAACCCCGGUCUCUGGGAUAACAGUUGGAAACGACUGCUAAUACUGGAUGUCGUCGUACCCUCGCAUGGGGGGAUGACGAAAGGGUUACCGGAUCGGGACGGUCUCGCGGCCUAUCAGCUUGUUGGGGAGGUAACGGCUCACCAAGGCUUCGACGGGUAGCUGGUCUGAGAGGAUGAUCAGCCACACUGGGACUGAGACACGGCCCAGACUCCUACGGGAGGCAGCAGUGGGGAAUCUUGCGCAAUGGGCGAAAGCCUGACGCAGCAACGCCGCGUGCGGGAUGAAGGCCUUCGGGUUGUAAACCGCUUUUAACAGGAACGAAAAUGACGGUACCUGUAGAAUAAGGUGCGGCCAANNNNGUGCC
rnacentral:rRNA from 1 species